GCUGUGAUGGCCGAGUGGUAAAGGUGUUGGACUUGAAUUCCAAUGCUGUCUCCCAGUGCAGGUUUGAACCCUACUCACAGUG